UACGGACAUAUCACGUUUAAAUACAGGUUCUCAUACGAUCACCGAAGGUAAGCAACGUCGAGCCUGGUCAGUAUCUUGAUGGGUGACCGCUUGUAAUAAUAGAUGUUGUAAG